ensembl:misc_RNA Metazoa_SRP Metazoan signal recognition particle RNA
GGCGGGGUCCGUGGCGCGCGCCUGUAAUCCAAGCUACUGGGAGGCUGAAGCUGCGAAUCGCUUGAGCUCUGGGCUUCUGGGCUGCAGUGGACUAUGUUGAUCGGGUGUCCGCAGUAAGUUCGGUAUCGAUAUGGUGCUCCUGGGGGAGCUCGGGACCACCAGGUAGUUUAAGGAGGGGUGAACCGGCCCAGGCCGGAGACGGAGCAGGUCAAAUCCCCCGUGCCGAUCAGUAGUGGGAUCGCACCUGAGAAUAGACACUGUAGUGCAGCCUGAGAGACGCAGACUAUUACAUUUUUUU